AUGGCUGCCUACAUGGGUUGUGAUUAAAUAUUGUUGUCUUAACUCGUAGCAUUUUCACAAUCCUUUUGACACUAUGUCUUCAAAAAAGAGGAAAGAUUGUGAGAAAAUUAAUAUUUCACAAACUAAAAAACAAAAACUACCUGACACCUCUAAAAGUGCAUCUAAAACGUCCAUCGAAGAAGCUUUUUUGACGGGAGUAGACAUUUUUAUUAUGAAGGCUGGUAUCCAAAAAGCCAGAAUUAAGAUUUUUGAGACACAGCUUGAGAAAUAUGGGGCAGUUGUUUGUAACGAAAUAUCAUCGUCGACAAGGCACAUUUUAGUCGAUGAUACAAUGGACGUUGACAGGAUGUGUAGAUUGUUGAAGCUGGAGUCUGCCCCGCAAGCAACUGUUGUAAAAACCACUUGGCUCAGUACCUGUCUUAGACAAAAGAAAUUAAUCCAGACUCAAGAAUUUGAACUAGACUUAAAAGAACAUUUUAAUACCAACAUAACCAAGGGGGCCAUCAACCUAGCAGUGCAAAGUGCAUCUGAUUCUAAGACAAGUUGUAGUGAAGUGCAAACUGUACCAAAUGACAAAUGCCCCAAAGUUGGCAUAAUGUUUAAUGCAUUUAAAAAAUCAAACAAGUCAGAAAUGUCUGGUUCAGACAGUGAUUAUAAAGCAAGUGACGAAGAGCGGGAUGUUCAGGCAUGUGACGAAAGUGGAUAUCAUUCUCCAUCAACCAGUUCUAAUGAAACAGUUACUCCAAACACAUCACCUGGCAAAGCAUUUCCUACAGAAAAAUGGAUUUGCACUCAAUCAUCUAAGAAUCCUAGACCCAACUUCAACCAGCAUGUCACAGAAACAUUAGAAGAAAUGGUGAAGAACUACGAAAGUACAAAUGACAAAUGGCGUGCCUUUGGUUAUCAGAAAGCAAUUCAGGCCAUUCGCAGGUGCCCCAAGCAAAUCUCAACAUGGGAGGAAGCUAAAGCUCUUCCUGGUGUAGGAUCCCGAUUGGCUGACAAAAUAUGGGAAAUAAUCCAGAGUGGAGAGCUGAGAAAACUGAAUGAAUUCAAAUCUAAUGAUGAGAUCAAAGUUCUGAACAUGUUCACCAAUGUGUGGGGUGCUGGGCCGACGACAGCCAGACAGUGGUAUCAGCAGGGUUUGCGAACAAUAGACGAUUUGAAGACAAAGGCGCACCUGACUCAUCAGCAGAAGGUUGGAGUUCGACUGUACGACGACUUGUUGGAAAGGAUGCCACGUGAAGAAGCUGGAGAGAUUGAGCAAGUGGUGAAAGAGGCAGCUGAAAAGAUACAGCCAGGCAUUAUAGCUCAGGCGUGUGGGUCGUAUCGCCGUGGCAAGGCAACGUGCGGAGAUGUUGAUAUUCUCGUCACUCACCCCGACGGAAAGUCACACCUAGGGAUGUACGGGAAGCUGCUGUCAGCCCUCAAGGAAACUGGAUUUUUGACUGAUGAUUUGGUGUCUGUAGAAGAUAAUGGAAAUCAGAAAAAAUAUCUUGGAGUGUGUAAACUUCCUGGAGAUAAUAGGAAACACCGCAGGUUGGAUAUCAUUGUUGUUCCUUAUGAUGAGUAUGGAUGUGCUUUGGUGUAUUUCACUGGCUCUGCUCACUUCAACAGGUCGCUGCGUCACCUGUGUAAGAAACAGAAUAUGUCGCUUAACGAACAUGCUUUGAGAACCGGAGUCGUUAGAAAGGGUACAGAAAAAAUAUUUGAAGGAACGAAAAUUUUAACACCAACAGAAGAAUCGGUGUUCAAAGCUUUGAAUGUGCCUGUUAGACCCCCUGAAGAGAGAGAUCACUAGUGAAUUCACAGCCUCAAAGAAAAAUCAGUGAUCUACUUUAAGGCUUUGGAUAUGAUUGAUCAGAUUCAGACCUUUAUAAUGUUAUUUUAACUUAAUUUUACAUGACAAAUAUUCGUCAAUGACAAAAUUAAUUUUUAUAUUAAAAUCCACAGAUAUUUUGCAAGUACUUAUGAAUAUGUAGCUGUUUUAUUUAAAUAUAUGUAAUUUUGUUUUUAUUUAAUUAAUUAAUUAAUUUUAUUAGUAUAUUUUAACUUAAUUUUACCUGACAAAUAUUUGUCAAUGACAAAAUGAAUUUUUAUAUUAAAAUCCACAGAUAUUUUACAAGUACUUAUGAAUAUAUAACUAUUUUAUUUAAAUAUAUGUAAUUUAGUUUUUAUUCAAUUAAUUAAUUAAUUGAUUUUAUUAGGUAUAUUCUAUUUUACCAGGUAUUAUUAUUAAAUUUAUUUUAGCUUCGUAACAAAUACAUUUCUGCAUAAGAUUAGUAUGGAAUAAAACUGAUUUAUUUAUUGGAAUAUUGAACAGAAGUAAUAUUUAUUUUGUGAUUUGAGGUUGUGUUUUGCAUUUCUCUUAAUAUAUUCUAGUACCAGUGACCUGUAUGCCAUAAUAUAGCAUUAAAAUACAAUGGGCAAGUUCAACAUUUUCCUAAUAUCUUCAAAUAAUGAAUUAAUAUUCAUCAAGUUCUUAAAAUAUUUUUAAUUAAAAAUUCAGUUAAUGCAAAGUAUAUACAUGUAUAUAUUAUUAAUACUAAAUUAAAAAAAAAUUUUUUUGCAUUAUAUUGCAUGUUGGAUUUACAGUCCCAUUUUAUCGUAGUUCCUAUUUAGUAACCAUUGUAAAUAAAGUGAAGCUCCAUUAUAUAUAUUACAGAGUCCAAAAGGUAUUAUCGUUAAGGAGAUACUUUGAGAAGCAAUACAUUUAGAGGAAUGCCUGAGUUAUUCACACUUACUGGUUAAUAACAGAGACAUGGCCCAAAAGACAGAAUUUCAUUAGUAUUUUUAAGAAAUGGAGAAUUACAAGGGUAUUCCCCAUCUUAAAAUUUAUGUGUAAACAAUAAUGUAUGUCACAAUAUAUAAUGCGAGUUACACUUUAUAAUGUUUGUUGAUACAAUUAUUUAUUACUUUUGGAUAAAAAGCUUCCUAAAACAUAAUCAAUUUUUAAUGGGAUUGUGUCAAUUUUUUUUUUAAAGGGACAGACCCUAGUUUAUAAACACUAGGGCAUAUUUUUCACCUAGAUCCUAGUUUUUAAACACUAAGGCAUAUUUUUCACCUAGA
rnacentral:misc_RNA from 1 species